CAAUAGCGUAUAUUAAAGUUGUUGCAGUUAAAAAGCUCGUAGUUGGAUUUGUGGCGUACGGUGUGUUCCGGGCACUUGUUGUCUGAGUAACCUGCUGUUGCCAUCCUUGGGUGGAACCUGUGUGGCAUUAGGUUGUCGUGCAGGGGAUGCCCAUCAUUUACUGUGAAAAAAUUAGAGUGUUCAAAGCAGGCUUAUGCCGUUGAAUAUAUUAGCAUGGAAUAAUGAGAUAGGACUUUUUUGCUAUUUUGUUGGUUUGCGCAAAGAGGUAAUGAUUAAUAGGGACAGUUGAGGGUAUUCGUAUUCCAUUGUCAGAGGUGAAAUUCUUGGAUUUUUGGAAGACGAACUACUGCGAAAGCAUUUACCAAGGAUGUUUUCAUUAA
rnacentral:rRNA from 1 species